AGUGAACGCUGGCGGUAGGCCUAACACAUGCAAGUCGAACGGCAGCACAGUAAGAGCUUGCUCUUACGGGUGGCGAGUGGCGGACGGGUGAGGAAUACAUCGGAAUCUACUUUUUCGUGGGGGAUAACGUAGGGAAACUUACGCUAAUACCGCAUACGACCUACGGGUGAAAGCAGGGGAUCUUCGGACCUUGCGCGAUUGAAUGAGCCGAUGUCGGAUUAGCUAGUUGGCGGGGUAAAGGCCCACCAAGGCGACGAUCCGUAGCUGGUCUGAGAGGAUGAUCAACCACACUGUAACUGAGACACGGUCCAGACUCCUACGGGAGGCAGCAGUGGAGAAUAUUAGACAAUGGCCGCAAGCCUGAUCCAGCCAUACCGCGUGGGUGAAGAAGGCCUUCGGGUUGUAAAGCCCUUUUGUUGGGAAAGAAAAGCAGCAGGUUAAUACCCCGCUGUUCUGACGGUACCCAAAGAAUAAGCACCGGCUAACUUCGUG
rnacentral:rRNA from 1 species